GAGGACCGUAUUCAUGGAAGAGGAUCGAACAGAGAUGAAGUAGACAGUAUGUUGGAUAAAUCUGAAGACAUGAAAUAGGCAGUAUGUUGGAUAAAUCUGGAGGUCUCUGCUAAGAAAAACUGAGAACUUCACUAUGACAUUUAUAAGACGCUUCACAUAAAGAGAAAAUGGAUGGAAACUUAUGUCAAAGAAUCUUUCAAAGGCAGGAACCAGAAAUUAGAAAGAUUUUGCAAAAUGAACGAACGAGAGAGGAAGAACAUCAACAACAAAUUUUGUGAGCAGUAUAUAACUACAUUUCAGAAGUCUUAUAUGGAUGUACAGAAAUUCAAUGAGGAAAAAGAAAAAUCAGUGAAUAGUUGUCAAAAAGAACAACAAGCAUUGAAACUGUCCAAAUGUAGUCAGAACCAGACCCUGGAAGCAGGUAAAGAAAUGCAUGAGAAGUCCAUGGAGCUGCAUCAUUGGACUCAAACUGAAUGGUCCAUGUGUUGCCACUGAUGUGAGCCAUU
rnacentral:lncRNA from 1 species